UUGAAACACUGCUUCCUGUACAAUCAACGAAGUUAAGCAGUGUUAAGCCUAGUCAGUACUUAGUUGGGUGACUUGGGAAUUCCAGGUGUUGCAAA